rnacentral:rRNA from 1 species
GCUUUUCAGUAGUUUACUACAGAAAAUGACUGAGCGGCGAACGGGUGAGUAACGCGUGAGCAAUCUACCUUAGUUACUGGGAUAGCCCGAGGAAACUCGGAUUAAUACCGGAUAUUCUUAUUUUUUCACAUGAAGUUUUAAGGAAAGGUCAGCCGAACUAAGAUGAGCUCGCGUUCUAUCAGCUAGUUGGUGGGGUAAAAGCCUACCAAGGCUACGACGGAUAGCUGGUCUGAGAGGACGAUCAGCCACACUGGGACUGAGACACGGCCCAGACUCCUACGGGAGGCUGCAGCAGGGAAUAUUGCGCAAUGAGCGAAAGCUUGACGCAGCGACACCGCGUGUGGGAUGACGGUUCUAGGAUUGUAAACCACUUUCAGGAGGGAAGAAAAUGACGGUACCUCCACAAGAAGACCCGGCCAACUACGUGCCAGCAGCCGCGGUAAUACGUAGGGGUCAAGCGUUGUCCGGAUUUAUUGGGCGUAAAGAGCUCGUAGGCGGUUCAACAAGUCGGUCGUAAAAGUUUAGGGCUCAACCCUAAAAUGUCGAUCGAUACUGUUGUGACUAGGAUACGGUAGAGGUGAAUGGAAUUCCGAGUGUAGCGGUGAAAUGCGUAGAUAUUCGGAGGAACACCAAUUGCGAAGGCAGUUCACUGGACCGUGAUCGACGCUGAGGAGCGAAAGCUAGGGGAGCAAACAGGAUUAGAUACCCUGGUAGUCCUAGCUGUAAACGAUGGAUACUAGAUGUAGGAACUGGAUUGACGGUUUCUGUAUCGUAGCUAACGCGUUAAGUAUCCCGCCUGGGGAGUACGGUCGCAAGACUAAAACUCAAAGGAAUUGACGGGACCCCGCACAAGCGGCGGAGCAUGCGGCUUAAUUCGAUGAUACCCGUAGAACCUUACCUGGACUUGACAUAUAGGGAAAAGCUAAAGAAAUUUAGUGUGCGUAAGCGCCCUAUACAGGUGGUGCAUGGCUGUCGUCAGCU